CAUCUGCCCGUGAAAACGGUGGAAAACUUAUAAGUGCCGAAGAAAGCUACGCUUUAGCUGCUUAAUCAGCUAACCUCCUUUUUCCGCUCUCCCGCGGCGGGAAACAGGGGGUCAACUAAGCGGGAUACCCUCCAGGCGAGCCCGGCGCAUGGAUGGGGAAAAAAACAACGGGCUAGCCUCCUACCAGCCUGUCUGUGGGCGGGUAGCAGGCGAAAUCAAUACGCAGACUGCGCUCGGAGAAGUCCUUGUAGGUUUUCUUCCGGACGGGGGUUCGACUCCCCCCACCUCCACUA
rnacentral:tmRNA from 1 species